AACGAACGUUAGCGGCGCGCCUAACACAUGCAAGUCGCACGAGAAAGGGCUUCGGCCCCGGUAAAGUGGCGCACGGGUGAGUAACACGUGGGUAAUCUGCCUUCGAGCGGGGGAUAACGACCCGAAAGGGUCGCUAAUACCGCAUAAGACCACGACCUCGAAAGAGGAUGCGGUCAAAGCUGGCCUCUAUAUAUAAGCUAGCACUUGAAGAUGAGCCCGCGGCCCAUCAGCUAGUGGUGGGGUGAUGGCCUACCAAGGCGACGACGGGUAGCCGGCCUGAGAGGGCGACCGGCCACACUGGGACUGAGAUACGGCCCAGACUCCUACGGAAGGCAGCAGUGGGGAAUCUUGCGCAAUGGGCGAAAGCCUGACGCAGCGACGCCGCGUGAGGGAUGACGGCCU
rnacentral:rRNA from 1 species